UGGAAGUGUAAGCCAAAGGAACCCUUUGCCCC
rnacentral:piRNA from 1 species